GCGGAGGGAUCAUUACUGAGUUUACGCUCUACAACCCUUUGUGAACAUACCUAUAACUGUUGCUUCGGCGGGUAGGGUCUCCGCGACACUCCCGGCCUCCCGCCCCCGGGCGGGUCGGCGCCCGCCGGAGGAUAACCAAACUCUGAUGUAACGACGUUUCUUCUGAGUGGUACAAGCAAAUAAUCAAAACUUUUAACAACGGAUCUCUUGGUUCUGGCAUCGAUGAAGAACGCAGCGAAAUGCGAUAAGUAAUGUGAAUUGCAGAAUUCAGUGAAUCAUCGAAUCUUUGAACGCACAUUGCGCCCGCCAGCAUUCUGGCGGGCAUGCCUGUUCGAGCGUCAUUUCAACCCUCAAGCUCUGCUUGGUGUUGGGGCCCUACAGCUGAUGUAGGCCCUCAAAGGUAGUGGCGGACCCUCCCGGAGCCUCCUUUGCGUAGUAACUUUACGUCUCGCACUGGGAUCCGGAGGGACUCUUGCCGUAAAACCCCCAAUUCUCCAAAGGUUGACCUCGGAUCAGGUAGGAAUACCCGCUGAACUUAAGCAUAUCAAAAA
rnacentral:rRNA from 1 species